GAAUCAGCCUUCAAAGUCAAAGAGGAAGGAAUAUAUUCUGUAAGUGCCUGAGAUUAAGCAGAUGGCUCAGUUUGUGGUCAUCCCUGGAAGAGUCUUGCCAUCACCUGUCACCAAGAGAUGUGGCACUCCCAAGUAGCCAGAGUCCUAUGGGAGCAACACAAGUCUCAGGCUGACACCAGAGUUCUGGUCCAGCACAGAUUUCUCCAUUCGGACAGUCCAGAUGCUUUUGCAUGCACCAACUCUUUGUUUUGAUGAGCCUCUCUGCCCUCCACCACCCAAGCAUCUU